UGCCAGCAGCCGCGGUAAUACGGAGGGUGCGAGCGUUAAUCGGAAUUACUGGGCGUAAAGCGCACGCAGGCGGUUUGUUAAGCUAGAUGUGAAAGCCCGGGGCUCAACCCCGGAAGUGCAUUGGAUACUGGCAGUCUUGAGUAUGGGAGAGGGAAGUGGAAUUCCAGGUGUAGAGGUGAAAUUCAUAGAUAUCUGGAGGAACACCGGUGGCGAAGGCGACUUCCUGGACCAAUACUGACGCUGAGGUGCGAAAGCGUGGGGAGCAAACAGGAUUAGAUA
rnacentral:rRNA from 1 species